CACGUAGUUAGCCGUGGCUUUCUGGUUAAAUACCGUCAACCCUUGAACAGUUACUCUCAAAGGUGUUCUUCUUUAACAACAGAGUUUUACGAGCCGAAACCCUUCUUCACUCACGCGGCAUUGCUCCAUCAGACUUUCGUCCAUUGUGGAAGAUUCCCUACUGCUGCCUCCCGUAGGAGUUUGGGCCGUGUCUCAGUCCCAAUGUGGCCGAUUACCCUCUCAGGUCGGCUACGUAUCAUCGUCUUGGUGGGCCUUUACCUCACCAACUAACUAAUACGCCGCGGGAUCAUCCAGAAGUGAUAGCCGAAGCCACCUUUCAAACAAAAUCCAUGCGGAUUUUGUGUUAUACGGUAUUAGCACCUGUUUCCAAGUGUUAUCCCCUGCUUCUGGGCAGAUUCCCCACGUGUUACUCACCAGUUCGCCACUCGCUCAUUGUUGAAAUCAGUGCAAGCACGUCAUUCAACGGAGCUCGUUCGACUUGCAUGUAUUAGGCAUGCCGCAGCGUCGUCCG
rnacentral:rRNA from 1 species